rnacentral:snRNA from 1 species
AAAACUUUUCCAAAAMAAAAAAUCUGRUCUUAUCAGUUUAAUAUCUGACCUGUCCKCUAUCUGGGGACCAUAUAUUAAAUUGAUUUUUGGAAAAGGGAGAUGGAAUUAGGGGCUUGCUCCGUCCACUCCACGCAUCGACCUGGUAUUGCAGUACCUCCAGGAACGGUGCACCCCCU